CUAGGUAACAAUACUUCGUGGGGCUGGGCCAAAGUUUUCCAGAAGGCCAUGUAUGCUCUGAAUCAGUGUCCAAUAUAUGAUACUGUUUCUUCCAUAGCCAGGAUUCACUGGUCCAGGAUUCACUGGUCCAGGAAUCAAAGGGUGGAAGUGGAAGUGUCACCACUCACCAUCACCCCUAGUGAUCCACUAGCAAAAUUGUUGCUUCCUAUUCCUGCGACAUUACAUUCUGCUGGCCAGAGGUCUUAGUUCCAGAGGGAGGAACGCUGCCACCAGAAGAGACAAUAACGAUUCCAUUAAACUGGAAGUUAAGAUUGCCACCUGGACACUUUGGACUCCUCUUACUUUUAAGUCAACAGGCUAAGAAGGGAGUUACAGUGUUGGCUGGGGUGAUUGACCCGGACUAUCACAAUGAAAUCAGUCUACUACUCCACAAUGGAGGUAUUCAUCAACACCACAGAUACCAGUGGCUGUGAUAAAGAGACCUCCGUCUUUCCCCAUUAAAGCCUUUGCCCUAUGUGGCCCACUCAUCUUUGGCAGAAGUUCUGAUCAUAAAGACCGAGACCUGGCAUGCUUUGAGCGCUCAGUGAUUAUUUGCUCAUAGACUGAUAACUUUCUCCCUUCCGAGUCAGCACCCUCUACCACUGGUUGCAUCUCUCCUGCCAAAUGAGAUUACCUGAAGAGUUUAUAAUUAACCCUGUCAUACCAUGGGAGAGACUCAGGUUGUCUAGAUGCCUCGUGUCAAUCUUUGCUAGGGCACAAACUCCAUGAACAUCGCUUUCAUAUAGUUAUCCUUCAAAUUCACAAUUUAGAAACAUUUCUGCAACACUCUGGGUGCCUUGGUGGUUGGAUACCAUUUGGGAAAUCAUUUAUCCUUUGGAGAUGUAAAUAAUUGGCAGGACUCGGCUGCAGUGUUCUCAUCAGACAUUAGAGUGUUGCCAGUAAUCAAACCUAUUGCAUGUCAGCUGCUUUCCAGCAUCAUUCUUUUCUAUCUUACAGCAUGACACUUUCUGGAUUGCAGUGAAAUAAAGAAACAGCAACAUGCAUGCUUGCUUGAAGGAAGUGUGAUGAGGCAUUCCUGAUUUGGCAGGGGCAAUUCAUGAACACGCUUUAGAAAUAAGGGAUUUUAUUGGAAAGCUAUGAGGCAACAGUGCAUCCUAGUGGAUACAGUUUUGCUCUAAAAAUAAAAAAUACAUUUUAUUUCCCUACCUAGAUGGCUAACAUCAUGAGAAAUUUUGAAAAUGGCAUUUUUAGUCCAUGGUUUCUGGUUUUGCCUGAAGGGUUCAAAUCCUCCUCUCAAAAUAAAUCAAAGCUAUUAUGUGAGAUUCUCUUCUAAUAAUUUGAUUUUGUGUCAUAUAAGC
rnacentral:lncRNA from 1 species